rnacentral:misc_RNA from 1 species
AAAAGAUGCAUUUUAACUUGUUGAAAUUUUAUUCUUUAGCAAAAAACAAAAUUACAAACAAUUUCAAUAUUACACAGAUUGCAGGGGAUGAUCAUAUACAAAAAAGAAUGUAAUGAAAUUUGAUUGCUGAAAGGUGUAUCAUUGGUAUGCCACUUAUGCUAAAAGCAUGUAUAACUAUUAAAAAAAUGUGAGUUGACACUGGUUCUAGGGAAGACUCAUCCACUAAACGUAGAAGUACGUAGAUGUAUCAGCUGCAUUUGUUGCAUCUCUGCAAAGAAUAGAUCGAGCUUCGAUUACUGAUCGAGGGGGCUCUAGAUCCUUGUCUUGAAGAGAAUUUCCAAGUAGUCUCUGCAUUUCUGAAGCGAAGGUGUCGUCCAGUAUCCCUAAAGCAUAACAAGAGCCGUUAUACCAAACCCUGUUCUCCUUCCUUCCUUCUAGAAACUUCAAAACAAUCUGUCCCAUCCUGUCCCAUAACCCACGACAUGCUGCAACAAAUAUCCUACCGGUGAAGACCUCAUGCAAGUUAGAUAUAGAGUCAGUAAGCUGUGAACUCAGCAUGUGCAUUCUUUCACGAACCUCAGCCUCUCCAUCUUCUUCCUUUAUUUCCUCCAAAAUUCUUUUUAGUCGUGUGCUCCUGUUAGCUUGCAUAUUGUGGACAAGCUGUUCAACUGUUGCCUGCAGAUAAUUUUUGUAUUUUGUUCUCAACAGAACUGUGAUUCCAUUCAUCUGCUCCCCAAAGAGUGACUUUCUAUCUCCCACGACAGGCAGAUAGGAUGCCCAAGACUUCAAGAUGUCCUCCAAUCUACAAUGUAAGACAUCUAGAAUUCUCUUGAUGGUAUUCAGAAAAAUCCCCAAUUGAUUAGGUGCAGAAUAGAGUGCUGUUGAUUGUCUUCUUGUCAGUUUCUGAACAUGCAUAUUAAGCCUCUUCGGAAUGCUAUCUUUCAAAGGGGUUAAGAUGUCAUUGUAUUGCUUCUCCAAAGCCUUAAUGAUUGCUCUUUCCGCAUCAGCAACAGCAUUUUCCAAAAUCAAUGAAUAUUGGGGCCACCGAUUGAUAACCACUUCAUACUCAAUAAGGGAAUCCUUGAUUUUCUCAUACAUUUCUUCAGCAAAUGGAGAGGUGGUAUGAUUUGUUGUUACUCCAGCCCAUGGCACUUUUUCAGCUUUGCACUGGUCAAGCAAGUUAAGUUGCAUAUCCUGUACCCACACCAUUAUGUAACUGUGGAACAAGCCCCUUGAGUCUACACCACCCUGCACUGGACUGAUAUUCCAGAGAUCAAGAUUCCGCUCAAAAUCAGCAACUGCUAUUAGAAGUUCAUUUACAUGUGGCUGUGGGCUAGAUGGAGGCCAGGCACAAAGGAAACUUCUAAGCCUAUUGCACAACUCAGUGCUGUAGACAGCAGCAGUGAUGUUUGACAAGUCAAUUGAACUUGGGAAUAUGUGCUGAUUGUGGAUUUUGAUGUCUGCCUGAAUUUCUUUUCCAAUACUCGUACACAGAUUCUUCAUUUUCAAAUAAGCUGUUGAGAUAGUAAUGGAAUCCAUGAGGAAACCUUCAGAGUUGUUAGACACAAACUCAUCAGUCUCAAUCAUGUGCUUCCGACACCUUUUCUUAGCUGCUGUCUGCAAAUAGUUUCUCAGCAUAGUCUGUGCAUCUUGAGAUAGUAUGUCAUGAAGAAAGGCGUAGACUUCAACAGCAGGAGCUAAAGCUGGUGCAGCAGAUUCCUGCACUGGACCAAACAGAUCUGCCAACCCAGUGUGAGAGUUUUCAUCCAGAGACUUGUAGUUCUCGAAAACGUUUGCCAACAGACUCUCAAUUUGUGUUUCACAAUCUAAUAAUAAACUUUUCUCUUGUCUAGUCAAACUUUUGUCUCCCCUAGCCUUUAUGAUGGGUACAAGUAAUUCGUUUACCAGCUCUAAGCAGUCUCUAGUUGGAGUGGCCACAUUCAUGACAUGCCAAAGAUAUCUCAAUUUUGUAUAUGAAUCAGAAACACCAUAAUAGUCUGCAAAUUCAGUCAGCAGCCACUUCCAAGGUCCAUGCAAUCGUAGGUUUUGAGAUUGAAAAUGUUGUGCACGCAUAGCAGCCUCCAACAGUAGAUUAUAAGCUAGAGUUUCCACAACAGGACCACUCUUUAUAUUAUUAUUCUCGUCACAUGUAAUUGUACUACCAAUUGAGAGUUGUAUCUUCCCAACACAUUCUUGAUCAUCAUGGAAUAAAGGCCACCACCGAAUUCUGUCACUAAGAUUAUCAUUCAAUGAUGAAAUCUGAAUUGUAGCUCGACCUUGGACUGAUUGUUUUGCAUCCUGGACUUCUACUAAAAGAGCAUCUGCUUCGCUUUCUGGGAAAAACACAUGGUACUCCCCACUUCCAGGGCGUAAGGAAAUGGUAGAACCUUGUUCAAGUUGAGCAUCUUCACUGGUGCUUUUCAGUUGGAAUAAGCACGACAGUUGCUCUUCUGAUGUCACUGAAAAUGAAGCUAGUUUAAGAGAAUUCAUGCCAGUUUUCACUAACGAUGAAAAAUGCUGAGCAUACUCUUUCCCCAUUUGCAUGUAGAUUGCACUGCGCUGAGAGUAUGUGCUCUUCAGUUUUCGCCUAGGUAUUAUUCGAAGUUUCCUUACCUCAACUCUUAUCUUCCCAGCAACCUUCUUUAUCUUCGAAGGGAAUAUUUGUUCUGCAUUCUUCAUAGUUCUGACUUCUAUUGGUUGUACACCUCGCGGUUGCAACAAAAAUUUGUGUAAUCCAAAGGCACUUCGAAGAAGCAGACACUCAUUAAGCAGAAAUUCCGGAGCCUCUGUACAUCCCCUAGCCCAUGCAUGGAGACAUAAGCGGAUACAUGCAUCAUAAGUUAUUAAAGUUUGCCAAGCAUAUUGACCACUCGCAUUAUAAUCCAAUGAGCUUGUCUGCCAAUAAGGCAUCGUUUCUUCUUUUUCUCCAGCCAUGGUCUUCUCUAGUCUUUCAACAAAUUCAGUGCUGUGCAUUGAUUGGGAUGUUCCAUCUACUAGACCUUCUCUACUUCCAUCAAAAGGAUCUGUUUCUCUUGACUCGGAAACUUCAACUCUAGUUUUCUGAAUUUCAGCUUCAACUACAAAACUCUUUUCUUCUCCCCCAGUUUCCACAAUUGGAGGUGCACUUGGAGUCCCCAAAUCUCCGGCUUCUUUAAACACGUUUGUUUUGUGACUAUAAUUCCCAUCAAAUAUUGCAUGUGCAUUGCGCAUCUGGACUCUCUCUCGAAGUGGACAACUUCCAGCUGGGGUCGAAUUCUUAAGGACAGUUUUUCUACUGGCCAGGUCACAGUCGCUGAACCUUCCAAAAUUGUCCGGAACAACAAUUUUCAAAUCUUCUUUCAACAACCCCCUAUUCAACCUCGUUUUAGGCCUGUUCCCAUGUAUCUCCUCCUCAUCAUAGCAUUGCAAAUCUGGCUUCUCCAAGUAGUCGAUAUCAGUAACACCCACGUCCUCUUCCUCCUCCUCCGAGUAGUUUCCGCCCAUAUAAUCCGUAACUGAUGCCACGCUCUCAUUAUCAUUGUCGUCUAGGCAUGGGGCUACUAAGUUCCGAGGAGUAAGUAAACCAGAGUGGAAUUUCAGAGGAGGUAACAAAUGGGAAGAACUAAAAUUAUUGGAAUUAUAUAAAAGUGGAGAUUUCUGGAUUGGGUCUGUAGGAGAUUUUGGAAAUGGGUUGUGAGAGCACAGCUCCUCUGACAAUGGAGACAAAGGAGAACGAAUACGGCGUUCUUGAACAUCUGAUCCCUGCUUGAUCCAGUUGAUUGCGCUUUCAUCUAGACCUUCAGUAAACAUCUUUCAAUGUGAUUCGGAGAGAAUAGAGAGCUCGAUUCAAAGAGGAAAAAGAGAGAUAAAGCUUUCAAGAAGGGAGCGGAGACCGCUGAGCUUUU